CCUACGGGGGGCUGCAGUGGGGAAUAUUGGACAAUGGGGGCAACCCUGAUCCAGCCAUGCCGCGUGUGUGAAGAAGGCCCUCGGGUUGUAAAGCACUUUCAGUGAGGAAGAACGCCUGGUGGUUAAUACCCAUCAGGAAAGACAUCACUCACAGAAGAAGCACCGGCUAACUCCGUGCCAGCAGCCGCGGUAAUACGGAGGGUGCGAGCGUUAAUCGGAAUUACUGGGCGUAAAGCGCGCGUAGGUGGCUUGAUAAGCCGGUUGUGAAAGCCCCGGGCUCAACCUGGGAACGGCAUCCGGAACUGUCAAGCUAGAGUGCAGGAGAGGAAGGUAGAAUUCCCGGUGUAGCGGUGAAAUGCGUAGAGAUCGGGAGGAAUACCAGUGGCGAAGGCGGCCUUCUGGACUGACACUGACACUGAGGUGCGAAGGCGUGGGUAGCAAACAGGAUUAGAUACCCCUGUAGUC
rnacentral:rRNA from 1 species